AAGGAGUUAGUCCAACAAAGACCUCUGAUUUCGGCUCAGGUAACUGUGGUUAAAAUCCACAACCCCUUU
rnacentral:tRNA from 1 species